GACGAACGCUGGCGGCGUGCUUAACACAUGCAAGUCGAACGGAAAGGCCUCUUUCGGGGGGUACUCGAGUGGCGAACGGGUGAGUAACACGUGAGUAACCUGCCCUUGACUUUGGGAUAACUUCAGGAAACUGGGGCUAAUACCGGAUAGGAGCUCCUGCUGCAUGGUGGGGGUUGGAAAGUUUCGGCGGUUGGGGAUGGACUCGCGGCUUAUCAGCUUGUUGGUGGGGUAGUGGCUUACCAAGGCUUUGACGGGUAGCCGGCCUGAGAGGGUGACCGGCCACAUUGGGACUGAGAUUCGGCCCAGACUCCUACGGGAGGCAGCAGUGGGGAAUAUUGCACAAUGGGUGGAAGCCUGAUGCAGCAACGCCGUGUGCGGGAUGACGGCCUUCGGGUUGUAAACCGCUUUCGCUCAUGACGAAGCUUUGUGUGACGGUAGUGGGUAAAGAAGCACCGGCUAACUACGUG
rnacentral:rRNA from 1 species